GGGAGCAGAGCUCUCCAAAUUUACCAUGAAAAGUGGGUUACACAGGAUAAUGGCUCCCUAAAAUGUCCAUAUCCUGACGAAAUGAACUUUGAUUAAAUUGAUUGACAGAGUGACAUUAACUGACGGCUUAAUAUGGAGGAAGGAGCCCUGAGCCAAAGAAUGCAGGCAGCUUCCAGAAGGUCUCCAAGACUUGAAGAUUAUGGUCCUCUUAAGUCCCUGAAUGCAAAGGAAGAAGCCAAACCAUACCUCAUAAUAUAGGAAUGGAAACAUCCCUUAAAUCCAGGCCACUUCCUGUGGUUGAGCAAGUGGUCACUGCACCAAAGAUGCCCAGCCACUGGUGUGACAUUCAAAUCCAGCUCAUGCUUUACUGCUCAGACCAGUCCAGACCACCAGCUCACUGAGUCCACUUGGAGGAAGGUUAUCUGUUUUCUUUGCCCAAGGCUUUGUCUGCUUGCCAAGCUCUAAGCCCACAAAGAUGCUGCUUUCCAGAAGGUGAACCUUAGUCCCAAUUCAUCCAUCCAAGGGGUACAUAUCUUCUUAAUUGAACAAAGGCAUAGUUUAAACUAAGCUGUCGUCCUGCUUAAUCCCAUUUUACACUCAUGCCUCCCUCAUCAUGGCGACAGCUUCCUUUGAAAUCUCUCGUUUUUCUUUUUUCACUUUCAUCUGCUGAUCUCUCUCUCUUUUACAACAACUCAAAUUCCACCUUUCCUUAGCUUUUUGUUUGUUUACAUUGUUUGAGAGUCACACUCUCUGUAAGAACAGGUGUUGCAAAUACCCACAGGUUAGUAUUUCUGACCCUAGCAUGCACGCAUCCUUCCACCCUCAGGCAAGACCUAUCCUCAGGAACUACCUAGAGAGGAAAUCACAGAAACACCGGAUGCCACGGACGAUCUGCUGUUUUCACACUACUCUAUGAGCUACUGAGGCAUCUCUAAUGGCCUCAUCAUUUUGCAAUUCCCCCUCCCCUCUGCUCCUAUGUCAUGGCAUUAUUCCCUUCACAGAGAGAUAAGACAUAGCCUGCAAAAAUGGCUGUCAUUAUUUCAGAGAGAGCAUGCAGGCUUGUAAUUGAUUUGUGAUUGGUGGAAGUGGGCACAGUAUGGUCUUUAAUAAAAGGGAGCUGUGUGCAACA